AACAAAAUGUUCAUGGAAGUAAUUAAAGGAAUCAGACCUAGUUCAUCAUAAAUUUAUAAUUACCAAACUUGGUUUAACCUUGCUGUCAUGACAUGGUCCAGAGUUUUGUCCAGAUUUGUUUCUCAUUAACUAUCGUUCAUGGGUCAACAGAUGUUUAAAAUUGAAUUCUGGAAAAAGCUUAGACAUAGAUCUGAUAGAUGUCAUAUGGACUUUUGUAUUAAAGAAGUGAUAAAACAAAAAACAAAUAUGAAGAACAGCAACCAAAGACAUCUCUGAAUUACAGACACCUGACUGCACAGGCACUGGGAUACAGUAAAGUCUUGGUUUAAUACAUUUUACUAGUGCUCAAUUCUUCCUUAACCUGGGACAGUGGUGUAACACAACCUAACAAUAAACUUUAAAAAUAAUCAUUGGAAAAUUGAUUUGCUCAUCAGAUUGGCACACAGCACAAAAAACACAACCAACCAUGAUAUAAAACUCAAAGUGCCAAUCUAAUAAAUAUCCUGUUUUUCAUUUUCAAGAUUCAGCUUUUUUUUGGAUGUUUUCUUGAUUUAGAUGUUUUCUUGAAAACAAAAUGGAUAGAGAAA
rnacentral:lncRNA from 1 species